rnacentral:rRNA from 1 species
UGAGGAAUAUUGCGCAAUGGGCGAAAGCCUGACGCAGCGACGCCGCGUGGGGGAUGAAGGCCUUCGGGUUGUAAACCCCUUUCGGGAGGGAAGAUGGGGCGGGUAACCGCUCGGACGGUACCUCCAGAAGCAGCCACGGCUAACUCUGUGCCAGCAGCCGCGGUAAGACAGAGGUGGCAAGCGUUGUUCGGAUUUACUGGGCGUAAAGGGUGCGUAGGUGGUUAGGUAAGACCUGCGGGAAAGACCUGGGCUUAACCCAGGAAGGUCACAGGUGACUGCCUAGCUUGAGGGCGGGAGAGGAGAGCGGAAUUCCCGGUGUAGCGGUGAAAUGCGUAGAGAUCGGGAGGAAGGCCGGUGGCGAAGGCGGCUCUCUGGAACGUUCCUGACACUGAGGCACGAAAGCGUGGGGAGCAAACAGGAUUAGAUACCCGCGUAGUCC